GACGAGGGAUCCUAGCGUUGUUCGGAAUCAUUGGGCGUAAAGGGUGCGUAGGUGGCUAUGUAAGUCAGUUGUGAAAUCCCCGGGCUCAACCCAGGAAGUGCAUUCGAUACUCCAAGGCUAGAGUACUGGAGAGGUGGGUGGAAUUCUCGGUGUAGAGGUGAAAUUCGUAGAUAUCGAGAGGAACACCGGCGGCGAAGGCGGCCCACUGGACAGAUACUGACGCUGAGACUCGAAAGCGUGGGGAGCAAACAGG
rnacentral:rRNA from 1 species